GACGAACGCUGGCGGCGUGCUUAACACAUGCAAGUCGAACGGAAAGGCCCUGCUUUUGUGGGGUGCUCGAGUGGCGAACGGGUGAGUAGCACGUGAGUAACCUGCCCUUGACUUUGGGAUAACUUCAGGAAACUGGGGCUCAUACCGGAUAGGAGCUCCUGCUGCAUGGUGGGGGUUGGAAAGUUUCGGCGGUUGGGGAUGGACUCGCGGCUUAUCAGCUUGUUGGUGGGGUAGUGGCUUACCAAGGCUUUGACGGGUAGCCGGCCUGAGAGGGUGACCGGGCACAUGGGGACUGAGAUACGGACCAGACGCCUACGGGAGGCAGCAGUGGGGAAUAUUGCACAAUGGGCGGAAGCCUGAUGCAGCAACGCCGCGUGCGGGAUGACGGCCUUCGGGUUGUAAACCGCUUUCGCCUGUGACGAAGAGUGAGUGACGGUAAUGGGUAAAGAAGCACCGGCUAACUACGUG
rnacentral:rRNA from 1 species